CCAACUGACUAGGUAUCCCCCCUUUCCAACUGACUAGGUAUCCCCCCUUUCCAACUGACUAGGUCUCCCCCCUUUCCAACUGACUAGGUAUCCCCGAUUUCGAACUGACUAGUUAUCCCCCUUUACAACUGACGAGGUAUCCCCCUUUCCCUUUCCAACUGACUAGGUAUCCCCCCUCUCCCUUUCCAACUGACUAGGUAUCCCGCCAUUCCAACUGACUAGGUAUCCCCCCUUUCCAACUGACUAGGUAUCCCCCCUUUCCAACUGACUAGGUAUCCCCCCUUUCCAACUGACUAGGUAUCCCCCCUUUCCAACUGACUAGGUAUCCCCCCCUUUCCAACUGAAUAGGUAUCCCCCCCUUUCCAACUGACUAGAUAUCCCCCCUUUCCAACUGACUAGGUAUCCCCCGUUUCCAAAUGACUAGGUAUCCCCCCUUUCCAACUGACUAGGUAUCCCC
rnacentral:lncRNA from 1 species